GACGAACGCUGGCUGCGGGCUUAACACAUGCAAGUCGAACGGAAACGUCCUGCUUUUUUGGGGUGCUCGAGUGGCGAACGGGUAAGUAACACUUGAGUGACCUGCCCUUGACUUUGGGAUAACUUCAGGAAACUGGGGGUAAGACCAGAUAGGAGCUCCUGCGUCAUGGUGGGGGUUGGAAAGUUUCGGCGGUUGGGGGUUGGCUCGCGGCUUAUCAGCUUGUUGCUUGGGGAGUGGAUUACGAAGGCUUUGACGGGUAGCCGGCCUGAGAGGGUGACUGGGCCACUUGGGACAGAGAUACGGCCGAGACUAGUACGGGAGGCAGGAGAGGGGAAUAGUGCACAAUGCAGGGAAGCAUGAUGCAGCACCGCCGCGUGCGGGAUGACGGCCUUCGGGUUGUAAACCGCUAUGGCCUGUGCCGAAGAGUGAGUGAAGGUACUGGGUAAAGAAGCACCGGCUAACUACGUG
rnacentral:rRNA from 1 species